GCUUUGCCUUAGGUGCUGUGGUGGGAGGAAGUUCAGCCUGCUCCUUUAGGAAGGCUGGUGGUGCUUUGCAGGCCAGGCAGAGCAGGCAGGGUGCAGGCAUGGUCUGGCCCUGGGAUGUGAUGGGUCUGCUGAGGGCUGCCAUGGGUGCCCAGACCACCAGCUCCCUGCAGCCCAUGUGUUUGCUGUGUCGAUGCUGUGUGCUGCAGCUGUUGUACCUGUGCAGGUCCAUUAAUGAAAACAUUGAGCAAACCAGAACCAGGACAAGCCCUUGGCUACCCAAGCAGCCCAGCACUUGUGCCACACUUGCUGUACUUGCUGCCCAAAUGUGAUGGAAGAUUGUGCCAGAGGUGUGCCACUUUGGCUGUGCCUCUCUGCAUCCCCCAGUUCCAUGAGGCCUCUCUGCUUCACCACCCCGGAGCGGUGCUGCGACCACGGUGUGGUCCCGGAGCUGGGGUGAGGCUGGGAAGGGGCAGGGGUGGUGUUCCGGAGCUGAGGCUGCUCCCUUGGGGUCCAGGAUGGCUCCUUUGGGCUGCACGGCAGGGACCUGGAGCCAGCCCAGAGAGCAGCCACCUCCUCUUUAAUUGAUUGUAGAAAGCCAUUUACAAAACACAAAAGCUGCCUGUGCCAAGCUCUAUGUGUCCAGGCAUGGCUUAAUUCCACAGUAAAAUCUCAAUGCAGUGAA